ACGCACGCUGGCGGCGUGCCUCAUACAUGCCGGUAGCACGCUGAAGAGAGGAGCUUGCUCUUCUUGGAUGAGUUGCGAACGGGUGAGUAACGCGUAGGUAACCUGCCUUGUAGCGGGGGAUAACUAUUGGAAACGAUAGCUAAUACCGCAUAACAAUGGAUGACACAUGUCAUUUAUUUGAAAGGGGCAAUUGCUCCACUACAAGAUGGACCUGCGUUGUAUUAGCUAGUAGGUGAGGUAACGGCUCACCUAGGCGACGAUACAUAGCCGACCUGAGAGGGUGAUCGGCCACACUGGGACUGAGACACGGCCCAGACUCCUACGGGAGGCAGCAGUAGGGAAUCUUCGGCAAUGGGGGCAACCCUGACCGAGCAACGCCGCGUGAGUGAAGAAGGUUUUCGGAUCGUAAAGCUCUGUUGUAAGUCAAGAACGAGUGUGAGAGUGGAAAGUUCACACUGUGACGGUAGCUUACCAGAAAGGGACGGCUAACUACGUG
rnacentral:rRNA from 1 species